rnacentral:rRNA from 1 species
GGUAGCGAGGGGCCGGGGGGCGGGGUAAGACGGAGGUGGGAAGCGGUGGCCGGAUUUAUGGGGCGGAAAGGGCGGGUAGGCGGCCGUACAGGUCAGCUGUGAAAACUCGAGGCUCAACCUCGAGACGUCGGUUGAAGCCGGACGGCGAGAGUCCGGAAGAGGAGAGUGGAAUUCCCGGUGUAGCGGUGAAAUGCGCAGAUAUCGGGAAGAACACCCGUGGCGAAGGCGGCUCUCUGGGACGGUACUGACGCUGAGACGCGAAAGCGUGGGGAGCGAACAGGAUUAGAUACCCCUGUAGUC